UCCCUGGGGGCUCAGAUGGUAAAGAAUCUGCCUGCAGUGCAGGAGACCCAGGUUCGAUCCCUGGGUCGGGAA
rnacentral:tRNA from 1 species